GUCAUCUACUUGAAUUUUAAGAAAGCCUUUGAUAUGUGGAUAUCCCAAAGAAAAGAGACAGAAGAGAGCAAGCAAGAUUCUACCGUAGAAGCAUCUGCCAUUCUGUAAUGCUGCCAUGCCUGCUCUUCCCCUGACAGCAGUGACAAAUUCAGAAGCUUUGCUAUGCCAGACUCUUCCACUCGUGCUUCCAAAAUAGCUCUGUCUGAGUAUGAUGCUAGCACCACACAUACAUGCAUACUGCAAGAAGUAGCAUUAACCUCUGCACAGCUAUUUGCCAGAUCCCCUGAGGAUUGUACGCAACAGAACAACUGCUCCCUCCCCUGCUUUCAUUGUGUUAUUUCUUCAUUUCAUAUUAAGUUCCUGUGUAUGUAUUCAAGUAUUAUGUUAAUGUAAUAAAAAUGAUUAAAACAUCAA